AUUGCAAAUAAUACAUUACAGGAAGUUGAAACCUAUGAAAUUAGUGAUACCGACAGCAGCGACUUACCAGAUCCUGGCUUAUCUGCUUUUGUAGAUACCUCAGCUCUAGAUGUUUUACCAUCAGGUACAGCAACAGAAUAUGAAGCAUUACCAUCAGACGAAACUGCUACCAGUAGUUCAUUCAUUCCCGGAGGAACCCCCACAGUUCUUUUGAAGACAUUUCCUCAAGGAACAUGUGAAAUAUGUUGUGAUCGCCCAAAAAACAGUUUUUUUGUGCCAUGUGGCCAUACUAUAUGUCUGCCGUGUGGCACAUACCUCAAGGAAAGCGAAACCAAAGAUUGCCCAUUCUGCAAGCAAUUGAUUAGUGGAGUGAACGGUUUCUACUAAAAGUCCAAGCAGUUGAAUGGUUUUUUGGA